rfam:Meriones unguiculatus prion protein (PrP) gene, partial cds.
UCAUGGCGGGGGCUGGGGUCAGCCUCAUGGCGGUGGCUGG